rnacentral:rRNA from 1 species
CCUACGGGGGGCAGCAGUGGGGAAUAUUGGGCAAUGGGCGCAAGCCUGACCCAGCAACGCCGCGUGAAGGAAGAAGGCUUUCGGAUCGUAAACCUCUGUCAGAAGGGAAGCAGUUGCAUGGGGCCAAUCACCUGUGCAUUGACGGUACCUUCAAAGGAAGCACCGGCUAACUCCGUGCCAGCAGCCGCGGUAAUACGGAGGGUGCGAGCGUUAAUCGGAAUUACUGGGCGUAAAGCGCACGUAGGCUGUAUGUCAAGUCAAGGGUGAAAUCCCACGGCUCAAACGUGGAACUGCCUGUGAAACUGGCAAACUGGAGUAUGUGAGAGGGUGGCGGAAUGCCUGGUGUAGGAGUGAAAUCCGUAGAUAUCAGGAGGAACAUCAGUGGCGAAGGCGGCCGCCUGGCACAAAACUGACGCUGAGGUGCGAAAGCGUGGGUAGCAAACAGGAUUAGAUACCCGGGUAGUC